rnacentral:rRNA from 1 species
AUGGCCGCCGCGUACAAGCUCCUCCUCUCCUGCCCCGAAGGCCUCCCUCGAUCCCGAGUUUCGGUGAGGUUUGGUCCGUCCUUCGACCGGAUCCACCACCCGGACGCAUCCCUGGAGGAUUCUAUAGGCGAGGUGAUCUGGAAUCAAAGGCUCCAGCAGAACCCAUCGCUGUACAACGGCACGAAAUUUCGGUAUGGAGGGCAUGCCUUGCACCGCAGUGAUGAAUCAAAUCAGGUGUACUGUGUCUCACUUCAUUUGGGACUCACAGAUUAUAGGACAUUUGUUGGAACAAAUCUCAGUCCACUGUGGGAGAAAUUUUUGGUCCCCUCUCAAGAUGACUCUGUGUAUUGCCAACACAUGUCAAAUCCACUGGGAAAUGGUGCAAUCGUUGAAACAUCUGAUGAAAAAAUUAUUGUAUUGCAAAGGAGCAACAAUGUCGGCGAGUCUCCUGGACACUAUGUUUUUCCUGGAGGACAUUCUGAGCCACAAGAAGUUGGAAUCUUGGCUCAUCAAAAUGAAGAAAAAGAUGUCAGUGGUCUCAUUGAAAGAAUUUCAAAUGAAAUGUUUGAUGGAAUCAUCCGUGAAGUAGUUGAGGAAACUGGAGUUCCUGCUAGUUCACUGACAGAACCCAUUCUCAUUGGAGUUUCUCAGCGAGAAACGAAUGUUAGACCAGCAGCAUUCUUUUACAUGAGAUGUAACAUUGAUUCCAGCGCCGUAACUGAGCUUUAUGCUAGAGCUCAAGAUGGUUAUGAAUCCACCAAGCUCUAUGCAGUAUCAUUGAAAGAAUUACGAGAAAUGAGCCAGCGGUUGCCUGGUUGCCACCUAGGGGGCUUUGCUCUGUAUGAACUUAUGAGGAACGCUUCGGAAAGUUCGUGA